rnacentral:rRNA from 1 species
UACGUAGGAUGCAAGCGUUGUCCGGAAUUAUUGGGCGUAAAGAGUUCGUAGGCGGUUGCCUAAGUCUGGUGUUAAAUACAGGAGCUCAACUCCUGCAUGGCAUUGGAAACUGGGCGGCUAGAGUGUGGUAGAGGUCACGGGAAUUCCAGGUGUAGCGGUGAAAUGCGUAGAUAUCUGGAGGAACACCAGUGGCGGAAAGCGCGUGACUGGACCAUAACUGACGGCUGAGGAAACGAAAAGCCCAGGGUAGCGAAAGGG